GCUGGAUGCUGACGAGCGGCGGACGGGUGAGUAAUGCAUAGGAAUCUGCCCGAUAGUGGGGGAUAACCUGGGGAAACCCAGGCUAAUACCGCAUACGUCCUACGGGAGAAAGGGGGCUUCGGCUCCCGCUAUCGGAUGAGCCUAUGUCGGAUUAGCUAGUUGGUGAGGUAACGGCUCACCAAGGCAACGAUCCGUAGCUGGUCUGAGAGGAUGAUCAGCCACAUCGGGACUGAGACACGGCCCGAACUCCUACGGGAGGCAGCAGUGGGGAAUAUUGGACAAUGGGCGCAAGCCUGAUCCAGCCAUGCCGCGUGUGUGAAGAAGGCCCUCGGGUUGUAAAGCACUUUCAGCGAGGAAGAACGCCUAGCGGUUAAUACCCGCUAGGAAAGACAUCACUCGCAGAAGAAGCACCGGCUAACUCCGUGCCAGCAGCCGCGGUAAUACGGAGGGUGCAAGCGUUAAUCGGAAUUACUGGGCGUAAAGCGCGCGUAGGUGGCUUGAUAAGCCGGUUGUGAAAGCCCCGGGCUCAACCUGGGAACGGCAUCCGGAACUGUCAAGCUAGAGUGCAGGAGAGGAAGGUAGAAUUCCCGGUGUAGCGGU
rnacentral:rRNA from 1 species